GUUCAUAAUCCUUAAAUACAGCUCCUGGGGGGAAGCUCUUUGCCAGACAUGGGAAGCUCCUGACCCUCAUGAAAACUCAGGAUGGGUAGGUUAAAUGUCUGGUCCUUAGAGAGAGUAGCAGAGUGUUGGAAAUAGGGGAAGGUUUCUUGGAAGGUCAAAUUAAAAGGAGAAGGCUGCAUCUCCUGAUCAGAUCACCAGAAUGGGAAGCCAGACACUGGACAUGUGAAUGACAUUGGAGCCCUGCAAAACCAUUCACUUGACUUAUGAAUGUGAGUUAAUCUUACUGAACCUUAAUCCUAGUAUCUAAAUGUGAGAUACAGAUUAAUAUUUUUGAGACAAUUGUUUGAUAGGAAAAUGUCAGAUUGGUAAACUAUAAUCUGACAUAUGAAGAUCAGUUAUUACUGUUACUUAGUAAGCAAAAUAAUUUCUUUUAGGUACACACACACGACACAGAAUAAUCCCCGUUACUUUAUUACUUUAGUAUAUUUCUACUUCCCUACCUCACAUAACUUACUCUGAUAUUAGUGUGAUACAUUCAAUCAGUCUGAUUAGACGUGAAAUGAAUUUGUCUUUGGAGAAGGUAAUUGAAGCAUGAUGUCACUAGGACCCAGGGAACACAUCAUGAGGCCUCCCACCAUAUUCCUUUGGUAAUAGAGUUUGGAACUGACGGGAGGUGGAGGGGAAAAUGGGAGAGUCCAAGUCAUCGCCUUAGUGUUGCAAGAUCCACUUUAAAAGAGAACAUUUACAAAAAAUAGAAAAUAUUGUAUAAUUUCAUUUAUAUGAGGUACCUGGGAUAAUCAAAUUCAUAGAACAGAAAGUAGAAUGGUGGUUGCCAGGAAAUGAAGAAUUAUCAUUGAAUGGGUACAGAGUUUCAGUUUGGGAUGAUGAAAAAUUCAAGAGAUGAAUAAUCAAUGUGGUUGCACCAGAAUAUGAAUAUACUCCAUGCCAAAGAAUUAUAUUCUUAAAAUGGCCAAAAUGAUAAAUUUUAUUUGCACUACAUAUUAUCACAAUUUUUAAAAAGAAAGGUUUACAUCAUAUGAUUUAGCCACUUCAUAUUGCAUUGCUGAUUUGAUUUUUUGUUAAAAAUAUUGAUAAGUACACAGUAUUUAGUGAUAUAUAUCAAGUCCUAUCUUAAGUCACUAAGGAAAGGAAAAUGGUUAUUGAUGAAGAUCUUUUAUUCCAAGUUAUGUUUGAAUUGGCAUGUAGGGGGAAGCAUAUGUAAAAAAAAUGUUUGGAUUUAUCAAAUUGUCCAUAUUUUACUGAAACCUAGAUUUACCACAUCUAAGUACAAUCUGUCCCCUUGAAAGAAGUGGAGACAAUUUCAUCACCUAUAACUGAGUUCCAACUACUAUAAAAUUCAUGGAUGAAAAAGAAAGUCAUUAGUAGGAUGAAUAAAACAAUUUGGGACCUAAGGCAAAAAGAAUACUUAUGCCACACUGCUUAUAGCCAAGAUAAAUACACGCACAAAAAACUAUCAUAAAUCUAGUGAAAAUUUUUGUAUUCGCAGUAAAGAAAAAAGCCAGGGGUGUUUUGGGAUAUAUAAAAUGAUAAUCAACAUGAAGCAAAUUUAAAAACCAAAUGCAAAAGCUUGUAUUAUUAUCACUGGAAAUUAGAAGAUAGAUAAAACAAGGAAGUCAUUCUUCCUGCUAUUCAAAGAGCUAUGACAAUGUAAUUGAUGUCAUUUAUUUCUAAACAAAUAAAUAACUGAACUGUAUCUAAUGAAAUUACAAGUGUGGUGUCCUAAUCGAAAGGAGUGAGGGGAGACAAAGGAAACUAAUUCAGAUAAAGUCAGUUCCUUUACAAGGAGUCACUCAGUAAGUGUUUCUAAAAGCAAACUCAUUCUGGAUCUGGCAAUUAUCACAGUAAAUUUUGUGAAAUACUAUAAAUCUCCAAAUGGCCUUACUAAAGUCAGAGUGUUUUCUCCUGCAAGAUACUGAGUUCAUAAAAAUAUAACUGGUUACUUCAAUGUCAAUGAUUGCCUUAACAUUUUUUUUGUCUUUUUAAUGAACAAUACUUGCUGACAUACCUCUAUUAAUUUAAUCUCCAAAGGAGGCAACAAGUUGGAAGUUGUUUCAUUCAAUCUUCUAACGCUCCUUACCAAAGUCUGAAAGAAGAAAUUGUAUCUCUGAGCUCUUGGAGCUCGCACAGCAUCUUGGAACACCAAGAAUAACUCAGGCAUGUCAAGGCUCACGGGACCUGCAAGCUUUGGAGCAGUCUCCUUGGGAGCACGUUGAUUUCCUGAAAUUCUUCACAGCACACACAUCUCCAUCUUCUAAAUUCUCUUUCCCCUGUUCCCUUUUACCCCUACUCAACAAACAUGGUAGCUUGGUCUCCAAGGAAUAAAAUUUCAUUUCUUUCCUAAUCUUUUUCCUCCAAGUUUAUACCCUUUUCUGUUUUGUUAUUAAGGUACCUAUGCCAGUGCAAGUUCUCUGGUUGUUUUUUGUUUGUUAUUUCACAUUGGGAAUUGAAUUUAUUGAUCCAGUGACCACAUGAAAAGCCAGACAAAAAGGCAAAAGUUCCAUUAGUUUUCUAUUUACUUCUCAUAUAACUAGAUAUUGCUUUUUCUUCCAUUAAGAACUUUAAGAUGAAAAAUCAUUUCAUCUCAUUUUUUAUUUUACAAGAAUAACAUGUCUGAAUUACUUUGUGCAUACCUAAUUAUCUUAGUUUUCACAAUGGCUUAUUAUUUCACUUGGUCAAAAUUAUAUGCAUGACAUUAUGUCUUAGGAGAGAUACACAGGCUCUCACAUACACUGGCAAGAACACACAUAAGCAUGUAUACAUGCAUGCUACACAGCCAUCUUGGUUUUGAGUCUUUAUCGUGCCCUCAGAAAAUUCUAGUAGACUUUCCAUAAACUGAAUUCUAGUAACUUAUGCUUAAUAAAAGACAAUAUAAACAUGCAUGUGCAAAGUAUUUUGAACUCACUGAUGGGGCAUUCUCAAUCAUCAACAAACAUAUUCUCUCUCAGCAUUAGUUGUUAAAAUGUACAAUAGUAGCAGAUGCAACACACAAAACCUAAAGGAAUGAGAAUAUUUUGCUCAUGUAAAGAGUAAACAGAUUUUUCAAAUAUAUUAUUUCUCAAAGAAAUAACCUGGAAUGUGAGAAAUGACUGGAAAGGAGCAUGAUUAUUAAUGCACUUUCUUUUUCAAACCAACCAUAUGUUCCACAUUAUGAAUAUGCAGAUGGUCUCAAUGCAGUUAUUUUUCUCUAAUUAAAACCAUCAGGGUAAAAUAAUGCAGUAGUUUAGGAAGCUGAUUCAGCUGGGUCUCUUUCUUCCCUUCCCUAAAAGUGCACCAAAGCCUCUACAUGUUUAUAUAAUUUGAGGAUUCUUGCUGUUAAAUGAAAAACAGACACAAGCAAAGCAGCAGGUAGCAUUAUUAUUGUGUUCUUUAUGGUAAAUUCUGCACUUGAUGAAGAAAAGGCAUCUCGCAGAUGGAUUUCUCUUAGAUAGUUUUGUACAGAACCCAACUUUGGCAUUUCAUGAGCAAUCACCUCUCUGAAUCCAGGAUGCUUGCUAGGACUCUCCUUGAUCCAACACUGAUGUUGAAAUCAAGUGUAUCAAGUUAAUCUGUCAGCCUGCGUGCGUGAACGGCAGCUAUAAACUGAGCACGUCAACUGGGACUGGCUAAGUUGCUCAAGAUAGAGGUUUGAAAUUCUCUUCUAAGAUGUUAUACACUCCUCUUUGAGAACACAUUGGGAUCAACCAUGGGUGAUAGGUAUUUGAAUGACUACUCUAUUUGUUCUUCAUCUGCAAAAAAACUCCAACAAAAUAAUUUUGUUUCAGAUUCUUUCUCUUUCACCUGUAUACUUUCUAUACCACUGACCUUUCAGCAAUCAUAGAACUAUUUGAUUUUUCAAGGCAUUGUUGGAUGGCAACCUGAGCUAGAGAAACUAGCCUUAUGAAGGUUGGCCUUAGUUUAAGCUCACAUAGUUACCUUUAUUAAUAUCAUUGUUCUAAAAAAAUACUUUUUCCCUAGGCACAUACAGAUAUUAAGAAAUGUGGUACUCAGUUUUAAAGGAAUAAUUGAAGGAAGCUAUAGGAGAAGAAAUAUAUAAGUGGUGAAGAUGCCAUUCUUUGUGCUAUUUUAGAACCUAACUUUCUUUAAUCUACCAAACUUGGAUAACUAAACUCAUCAAUGCUACAGAUUAGCCACCAAACAUGUGGAUGGGGUGAACAAAUAUGCAUUCACUGGAAGGUGGUUUUCCAUAUGGGAAUUUUGAGUCAUUAAAUACAAAAGAUUUUUUUAUAAAAGUGAAAUAAUAAUCUCUAAAUGAUCACAGUGGAAAAAAACUUUUAAGACAACAGUAAGAAAGGAAAAAUAACUAUCAGAAGUAAAUUUUUCAACAAAUUUUACCUAACUAUGGCAUAAACAUAACUCUAAAUCUUGGGGAAAGACAAAAAACUGGAUUUUUUUUUUUGCCUGAAAGCAGACAGAAAAUUAAAAUUCUGCAUAGUGAAGAUUUCUUACCCUUUUCUAAUACAUACGUGUUAUGGUUUUGAUAUGAGAUGUCCCCAAAAGCUCAUGUGUGAGACAAUGCAAAAAUAUUCAGAAGUAAAAUGAUUAGAUUAUGAGCAUUUUAACUUAACCCGUGGGUUAAUCUUUGGGGUUUGUAUUUUGUCCCUGGUUAGUAAAGCUCUCUCCCUCAGUUUCCUGAGCUGCCUUCCUUCACCAUGCCCUUUCACCAUGAUGUUCUGCCUCACCUUGGGCUCGGAGCAUGCACUGAAUCUCCAAAACUAUGAGCCCCAAAUCAACAUUUUCUCCUCUAAGUUGUCCUUAUCAAGUGUUUUGUUAACAGCAAUGGAAAAGCUGACUAAAAUAAUAUGCAUCUGGACACUUUUCUAGUCUGAACUGAAAUUAUACAUGGCAUAAAUUCUCAUAAUGUUCUCAGGGCAAAUUGAAGCUACAUACAUUGUAAGAUCUAUUUGAAAAGGUCAUGCUAAUUGAGUCUUCAGAAGCAUCUUCUGACCAUCAGAGGAUUUGCAUCAAGUCCUAGGGGAGCUGCCACAGAUCCAGCUGGGAAGAGAGAGGCCCAAGCCAUCCUCAGAUGUCUCCUAGUUUCUUGGUUACUGUUUGUGGGAAUUAUUAAGCUUUCACUUCCAACACACUUUUCUACACCUCGUUCUGAGACUGGUGCUCUUCAGUCCACAGUUCUGCUUUGCCGUCUGGGUCCCUACUAGAUUUUAGGGGGUGAAUGGAAGAGGGGAAGGCCAGAAGAAGAGGAGAAAAUUUGCUCCUACUGGUCGGCCUCCUGGAUAUAUCUUUUCUCCUUGGGGCUUUGGCUUCUAUCUAAGUCACCUAGCAAUACUACUUUUGCCAACCAAAUUAGUUCCUUCCAGUAGCAGAAGGUUGAAGUCUAACACUCACAGACCUGAGGUAUCACCUGAGAGAUUCUGGAACCAGUGUCUUCAUUUCCCUUUCCAAGACCCAUGUUCUAGUUGGCCAAUACCCAUUCUCAGAGGUCUUUGUCUCAGCUUCUCAGGAUCUCUCUCUGAACUCAGAGACUCAAACUAAGUGGCAUCCACACCUGAGAAGUCACUUCUUCAAUAUUCUCUGUUUAGGCCUGGGGAUGUAGUUCAGUGGUAGAACACUUGCCUAUUUUAAAAUUUCUAAAAAUCCUUAGCAAAUUGGAACUCAAAUCUUGUAGCAAUAAAUAUUGCCUUCAAUAAUAAUUUUCCCUCCUAUUGCAUCAUCUCUCUUGGCCUCAUUUAAGAGUGAAAAAGGAAUCGGAGAAUGAAAUCCCUUUGGGCAGCAAAGACUAACAGAAGGGCUAUUAGCGAUUAACUUGAACUCCCUCAAGGAGAGAGCCCUUUAGUCAAGCAUUCUUCACUAAAGACUGCAGAACAGAGCAUCCUCAAGUCGCCAUUAUUAAAAAUUAAACUUACUUUACUCAGUAAAUGGGAGAGAAAAGCAUCAGACACCUGUGCCUUUGCUAUUGUAUGCUGGAAUACAACUACCCUAACAGCCAUUCACAGUUCUGUCAAUGUGCCUAAGUAUUAGAUCCUACCCUACACUUACUACUUAUUGAACCCUUGCUAUGCAUCAUGUCUUGGGUAAGGAUUUUAACACAAAUGUUCUUAUUUAACCUCAUAUGUACUCCAAAAUAGUAUUCUUAUGCCUGCAUUACUUAUCAAGGAAUUGAGGCUCAGAUUGGCUAAGGAACAUGCAUAUGGCCAUGCAUGAUAGUAAAUCGAGAUAACAAAACAAAAUAUUUGUCUUGAUUUCUUCUAGAAACAAAAGCCAAUUCUCCUAGGUGUUUUUGUAUCAUUUCUAGAGACAGUUAUUAAAUCAAUCUCUGGGACAAUUGUUUACCUUGGAGUUGAAUUAAUAGACCACUAAGGGAUCCUUUCUUUGGGGUGGUAUUAUGCCUAGAUAAGUAGGGACCUCUUAGGGCAUAACAUGACUAGAUUAACCUCUAUUCCUCCACUAGCUGCUACAUUCACACACCCAGAAGAUAGCUCUUUAAAAAACAUAAAUUUUAACUAGCUGGGCAUAUACCUGUAAUCAUAGAGACAGAGGAGACUGAGGCAGAAGGGUCACAAGUUCAAGGCCAGCCUGGCCAAAUAAAUGAGACCUCAUCUCAAACCAGAAAUAAAAAGGGCUGAGGAUUUAGAUCAGUGGUAGAGAACCCACGGGUUCAAUCUCCAGUACUGAAAAAAGAUUAAUUAAAAAAUUCUUUUUAUAAAAGAAGACUGCAUUAUAGAUUGCCAAGAACUAAUUUAAUCAUUAAGCCCACUGUACUCUAAAGAACAUCAUGCAUGAGAUAAAUCUAGACAAACACUCUCCAUUAUGCAGAUAUUUUCAAGUAUCUGGCUAUCUGAUGUUAUGUAGACAGGCUGUCUGAAUAUUGGCAUAAUUUUUUUUGGCUUUUAUUUAGGUAUUUGGCAUUAGACUUAUGCUUUUCUAUACAACUACUUGCCAGGCUCCUUAGCCAUGCCACAACUUUCAUGGCUUACAAACAAUACAUAAACUUAUAUGUAAAUUCCAUUGCCUCUUACGCUCUUCUUGACUACUGCAGUUCCUCUGAAUUAAGGAUCCAUAAUUUUGUUUCUGUAUGUAAAUACAUUAAACGUUAAGGUAAACAUAUGGUUUGGGAGUUGCAUCUACAAAUAAGAUGGAAAAAAACUAGAAAUUUUUAAUGGAUGCUGAAUUAUCUGGUUAAGAAAGGAGGUUGUCCACUUGGAAAAGAAAUAGGGCUGCUUUACCUCUGCAGAUUUCCAAAACCACAAAUCUAUUUAAAACCCCAAGUGGAAAAAUCUACGUGCCCAAUCCUGCACGAUGAGUACAAUUUGGAGUCUUUCUUUACUAAACACAUAUGCUUUAGAAAUGUAAAGAUAAAGGGGGAAAAAAACUGCAGAAUUUCAGAACUCAGGAAAAAUGCCCAUGAAGGCUACUCUUAUUAUGCAGACUGAUGGCAAGUAACAGGGUCAUUAAAACCAGCUCAUGCAUGCAGAGUUGUUUCCCAAAGAGCUGUAAAUAAUAUCAAUCUGAUGAAGCUCAGCAUUAGGCUGAGUCAGCAACCACCCCUGCUCAGUGUUCACCCAUUAAUUGUACAUAUUUGCACUUCUUUAACAUCAUCAAACUUCACAGUCUAGAGUGGCUUUUUGAGAUAUGCAGCUCUAUUCACACUUCAAUAAUACAUUGAAGUUCCCUGUGAAAAAGUCCAUGCUAAGUAUUAUCUGAAAGCUUUUUUUUUUUAAUGCAGUGACUAUAUUUCUAAUCACUCCUCCAUAUACUCUACUCUGAUUUAUGAGAAAGAUCAUUAGUACUUUAAUCUGUUAGCCCUAUACUGAUAGCCUUGCUAAAGAAUUAUUUCACUGCUAUUAAUACCUCUCCUGCAGAAAUACUUUUUUUGAGGUGGAUAUGCCUGUAUAGCAUCUUGGCCAUAUAACUAAUGCUCAAUAAUAUGCUGAAGAGCAUGUGUAGGAGGUUGUCGGUUGCAGGUGGGAAGAGUAAAGAGAGGGUUCCAGAAUAACUACUAGUUUCAGUAUAGCAUUUGUUAUGUACCAGGUUCUGAUCUAAGCACUUUAAAUCUUUCUUCAUUCAGUCUUUACAGCACCCCUAGGAAGUAAGUCCUAUUAUUAUCCCCAUUUUACAGUCAGCAUAACAGAAACAGAGGGUUAAAUUAACUUGCCCAGUUCAUACAACUGGGUAGUAAAGCUGUGAUUCAAACCCAGGCAUGGCUCUUAAUUGUAAUGUCAUAUGGCCUCUUGUUAAAAACAAGAAUAUUUUGAAAGGUUAUUACAGUGGAACAAAAAAAGAUGGAUAACUAGCCUUCCAAUAAAGACUGUAAUCCAGCAGGAAGCAAAAAGGAAACGCUUUUUAAACCUGCCUCCCGCUAUCUUAUAUGAUAGAGAUAGAUGAAGAGAUAACAUACAUACAUACAUAAAUUAAAACCUUCAUAAAUUCAAGGAAAACCACAUCAGAAAAACAUUACAUUUGUGAAAUAGAUUUUUUAAAAGAAAAAAGUUUAUUUUUCUAAUCAUGAAAUCAUAUGCCAACUGAGAUACAAGGCCUCAAAAAUAAUUUUUAAAACUGGGAGGAAUUUAAUACAGAACUGCAUGAGCCGGACAGAUAGCUCUUACCUACUCAAAACUUCAGGUGAUUUAUUUUCAUUGUCUACCAGCCAUUUAUACCUCCAUCUUUGCAUGUAAUAAGAACCUGGCAAUAAGACUUUUUCUAUAUAUUAUGUGAUAGUGAAUUCAGCCAAUGGCUGGGGACCUCUAAUAUGGAUAUAUGUCUGAUACUGUGAAUAUGAUAUGUUUCCAGCUUUUCCCCCAUGGUUAGAAACUGGAAAGAAAAGAGAGACACACAACCUAACACUAAAAUCAGGUGACCUUUGGUAAUUGCUAGUCUAUAAUAGAAAAAAGGGUGAGACCUCUGGAAAACGUCAUGGAGGAGUUGAGAUGUGAGAUGUUAUGUAAGCUGUAGCAUAUCAGUAGGAAGAAAUGCAGGAGGAGGGCAGCUGGAGGAGGGCAUAAUGAAUAGCACCAAAGACACAUUGGAACUGGAGAGUAGGCAGAGAUCAGCUUAGGUCUCCAAGACGCUGGAGAGACAGGUGGGUAAAUUAUGGCGUUGUCAAUAAUGCUAAAGAGGGUAGGGAUGGAGCUCAUUGGUAGAGCACUUUCCUAGCAUGUGUGAGGCCUUGGUUUCAAUCCCCAGCACAGCAAGAAAAUAAUAAUAAUAAUACCACCCAAUAGAUAACCUAGGUAUAGGCUACAAGAACUCAAGUCCUUACUUAAGAAAGCUGGCUUUUUAUUCCCAAACACCAAAAAGAAAGACCAAGGCAUAAAAGCACCUGAUUCUUUUUAACUACCCAACUCCUUUUUGAAAGUGAGAAAGAUCUAGUAAUAACAACAUCAAUAACCAUACACUUCUUUUUUCACUGAUUCCACUUAAUUUUUUUUGGGGGGGGUGGAUAAUGCAAUGGGCCAAGAGUCAAUAGAACCACAUUCUAGCAGAACUCUCACCUGAAGAAAAUAGUCUAAGCUUCAAAAUCCAUUUGAGAAACACCUUACUGCAACACUUCUAGUGUUCCUUUAGCUUUUACAUUCUAUAAAUCCAUGCUCAUUUUAAAGAUACAUUUCUCAUUGAAACAUGCACCAUGUAUAUAUGCUCCUGUGCUUUUAAGAAUGCAUUUGAUAAGGCCUGACAUGAGUUCCAGUUUUUUGUUUUGUUUUGUUUUUGUCUACCAAACAAUAUGGUUUAUUUUCUCAUAUUUGCUUAUGGACAUGUAGGAAAGCAAAUAAAGGAACACUAUAUAAAUUCAGAACAUGGUUACUGGUAUAAAAUAACAGAACUUUCUAUAGAAAGUGACUUUACUGAUUUAGUCAUUAUCCCAGCUAUUCUUGAUAUCCUGGAAAAUACAGGAGAAUAUCCAGGUCACUGGGUACCAAGUUUGCCAAAUCCUCCGUCUUGCUCCAUUAGUCCUCAACGGCUCAGAGUACCCUUCCGCAGGAAAUUGCCUAGUCAGCAAAAUUGCCUGCAUACAAAGAUAUAUGUAAACAUUAACUGACCAAGGAUGAAUGAUUCUUCUUGACCUCCUGAGCAUUUUACUUGGGCAAGGUCUAAAGGAGAGGGUAAUAUUCCAGCCAGCAAUAGGUCUGAAAUGAAUAUCCAUGUUCUUGACUUCCAGAGACAAAUUGGCUCUGGUCAAGAAAGAGAAGUAUAGAACUCUUCUUGUGCAAUGAUAAACCUUACACAAAACUGGAAAUCUAAAGAUAAAUUUUAAAAUUCUCCCUCUCCUCUAUAUCAUCUUAACUCCUUACAACUAUACUUUCUCAGCACUCAGUGCCUUUGUGUUUCUGACCAUCUCUCAGGUCCUCUCCCAGCAGCUGAGAUGACAUGCUCAAGCCCAUUUUAGAAGUGCCAAUUGCUCUAUUAUCUUUAUUCACCUCCCUCUUCUCCUGGUGAGGUCUACCUUGAGUGACAACGACUUGUUUAGGAAUGUUCUCUGCUCUCUUUCACACAGGAAAUAUGGCAGCUUGUCCACCAUGUUUCAAGGAAGGAAUCAAUGUGACUAAGACAUAAUCAUGAGAGAGGGUCUGCCAGCUGGUUCUGCCCACCAGUUAAGACCAUAAUCUUAAUAGCAAUAGCCAGGAAGUCUCUCAUAAAAUGUGUAGAUUUUCCUUCCCUUGAACUUAGUAAGAAAAGUAACAUUGAUUAGUCUAAAAAGAUUGAAACUAAACUAGAAUUUAAAUAUACUUUGUUUUACUAUAUAGUUGACUUAGGCAUAAGUGCAUUUAGCAGAGUAUAAAUGCACAGUUUAGGUUCUUAUGUAGCAUUCCAGUUUCCUCAUCACUAAAGGUCACUAAAAACCCUUUGUCAGCUUUAGCUGAGAGAAUGAUUUCUGUUCUGAUUUGGUGUGGAUUCAUAUUUACCUUGUAUGGUCUCAUCUUGCAGAUCUUCCACACAAUGUCACCUACUCCUUUUCUAUACCAGUCUGCUAUGGGAAUGAGCACAUUCUUAUAUCUAUCCAUAUUCCUGGGCAUAGUCUCUAUAUUUACUCAAAGCUCAAAUUUUAAUAGCAGUAUUUUGACAAGUCUUAUUCCUAGGAAGCUUUGUUUACCUCCAGUAUACAAUCCUUGAGUUACCUAUUUUCUCCAAGAAUCUUGUGUGCAAGAUUGCAGGCUCACACACGCCUGCAGUCUCCCAACCACUCUUCCUCACUUCCUAUGAGUUCAUCCUGAUCAACACUACCACUGCACAGAGGUGGUGGUGGGAAAUACAGUCCUUUUUUUUUUCUAUAAGAGUAGAGACUUUCAGUGUCAAGAAAUACUUUAAAAAAAAGGACUCUUCUCUAGAGUAGAAAUACUAAAACUAUAGAUGUUCUAUUGUGAUGUUAUCAAACCUCACUAGGCUACUAUUUAACAUGGACCCCUGAAAUCCUAAUUUCAUAUACAAUUGCCUCCUUAAAAUUUCACUUGGAUACUUAAAAGUCACUCAAAAUGACAUUUCAAACAGAAGAUUCUUAAAUUUCACCUCAUUCCUCAAGAGUAGCUUCUGCUGCAGUUAGCCUCAGUUCAGUAAAAUAGCAGAGGCAGUCAAUCAGUGGCUGAAAGAAAAGACAUAGGAGAUAGAUUUCUCCCUUUCCUACUUUCCUCAUUCAAUCCAUGAAUAGGAGUUGUAGAAUCAACUUCCAAAAUAUUUCCCACCUGACUCCCUUCUCUCCUUUUUUUCAGCUACCACUGAAGUUCCAGAUGCCAUCUCCUCAGCCAGUUCCGUGCGAUGACCUCCCAACUCUUCUCCCUACUCCUGUAUCUAUAUCAACUACAGAUCAAAACAGCAUAAUGUUUGUAUAAUAUGAAUCAUAUCACUUUACUACUCUGGGUACAACCCUUCCCAUAGGACUUAGAAUAAUUUGAUUAUUAUCCAUAAACCCUAUGUAAUCUUACCUCUUCCUCUUUCCCCUGAUCAACUUUUUCUCAAGCUCUAAAUACAAGCGGACAAUAACCUCUUCUCUGCCCUGUCCCAUAGCACUUUGGAUAGGUGACAUCUUCUCAUUCUUUAAGCCUCAGUUUAACUGUCACCGUUUCCUUGCCCUAUCAUCUAAAGUGACCUGGUCAGACUUGGUGACAUUACCCCAGUAUUCCCUUCACUGCUUUUUCAUUGUCUGUUUGAUAUUUGUUCUUUUGGUUUUCAACCUGUCGUCCACAUCUAGAAGAAAAGCUCCAUGAAGACAGAACCUUGCCUGAUUCGUGUACCACUCCAGCACUCAACACCGAGCAAUGCCAGCCACAGGGUGGACUCUAAUAAAUAUUGAUAAUAUUGAUGAAUAUUGGAAUUGGCUCCACCUCUUCCUGGAUACCUUUCUAAAGUUACUUACUCUCCAUUGCCUUGGUUUCUCCAUCUAUGAAAUGAGGGAAAUAGUAC
rnacentral:lncRNA from 1 species